rnacentral:rRNA from 1 species
GAUGCUAUUCUAGAGAUAGAAAGUUACUUCGGUACAUCGGUGACAGGUGGUGCAUGGUUGUCGUCAGCUCGUGUCGUGAGAUGUGGUUAAGUCCCGCAACGAGCGCAACCCCUAUUGUUAGUUGCCAUCAUUCAGUUGGGCACUCUAGCGAGACUGCCGGUAAUAAACCGGAGGAAGGUGGGGAUGACGUCAAAUCAUCAUGCCCCUUAUGACCUGGGCUACACACGUGCUACAAUGGUUGGUACAACGAGUUGCGAGUCGGUGACGGCGAGCUAAUCUCUUAAAGCCAAUCUCAGUUCGGAUUGUAGGCUGCAACUCGCCUACAUGAAGUCGGAAUCGCUAGUAAUCGCGGAUCAGCACGCCGCGGUGAAUACGUUCCCGGGCCUU